rnacentral:rRNA from 1 species
GAUGAACGCUGGCGGCGUGCCUAAUACAUGCAAGUCGAGCGAACGGACGAGAAGCUUGCUUCUCUGAUGUUAGCGGCGGACGGGUGAGUAACACGUGGAUAACCUACCUAUAAGACUGGGAUAACUUCGGGAAACCGUAGCUAAUACCGGAUAAUAUUUUGAACCGCAUGGUUCAAAAGUGAAAGACGGUCUUGCUGUCACUUAUAGAUGGAUCCGCGCUGCAUUAGCUAGUUGGUAAGGUAACGGCUUACCAAGGCAACGAUGCAUAGCCGACCUGAGAGGGUGAUCGGCCACACUGGAACUGAGACGCGGUCCAGACUCCUACGGGAGGCAGCAGUAGGGAAUCUUCCGCAAUGGGCGAAAGCCUGACGGAGCAACGCCGCGUGAGUGAUGAAGGUCUUCGGAUCGUAAAACUCUGUUAUUAGGGAAGAACAUAUGUGUAAGUACCUGUGCACAUCUUGACGGUACCUAAUCAGAAAGCCACGGCUAACUACGUG